rnacentral:rRNA from 1 species
GGGUAACUGCGUGCCGGGGGAGGCGGUAAGGCGUAGGAGGCGUGCGUUGUCCGGAUGCAUUGGGCGUAAGGAGCACGCAGGCGGUUUGGCAAGGCGGAUGGGAAAAGCAGAAGCGCAACUGCUGGCCUGCAUCCGAUACUGCCCGACUAGAGGUAGGUAGGGGAGAUCGGAAUUCCUGGUGUAGCGGUGAAAUGCGCAGAUAUCAGGAGGAACACCGGUGGCGAAGGCGGAUCUCUGGGCCUUACCUGACGCUCAGGUGCGAAAGCUAGGGGAGCGAACAGGAUUAGAUACCCUGUAGUC